rnacentral:miRNA from 1 species
AGUUGAAAUGCCAUUCGGGUU